GUGUCAGCAGCCGCGGUAAUACGUAAGGGGCGAGCGUUGUUCGGAAUUAUUGGGUGUAAAGGGCGCGUAGGCGGCUUGGCAAGUCUGGUGUGUAAGGCUACAGCUUAACUGUAGUUAGGCGCUGGAAACUGCGGAGCUAGAGUGCAGAAGAGGGAGCUGGAAUUCCAGGUGUAGGGGUGAAAUCUGUAGAGAUCUGGAAGAACACCGGUGGCGAAGGCGAGCUCCUGGACUGUGACUGACGCUGAGGCGCGAAAGCGUGGGGAGCGAACAGGAUUAGAUACCCUGGUAGUCCACGCAGUAAACGAUGUACACUAGGUGUUGGUCCAGAAGGAUCGGUGCCGUAGCGAACGCGUUAAGUGUACCACCUGGGGAGUACGCCGGCAACGGUGAAACUUAAAUGAAUUGGCGGGG
rnacentral:rRNA from 1 species